UUUUUCAAUCAGAUCACCUUGGAUUAUGUUCUUGUCAGAUUUCUCAAACUGAGCAAGGUCAGGCCUGGUCUGUAUUGAGAUAGGAGAGCUCCAAGGAAACCGAGGAUGCUACAGGAA
rnacentral:rRNA from 1 species